rnacentral:misc_RNA from 1 species
UACGGAGGGUGCAAGCGUUGUUCGGAAUUAUUGGGCGUAAAGAGCUCGUAGGCGGUCUGUCGCGUCGGAUGUGAAAACCUACGGCUUAACUGUGGGCCUGCAUUCGAUACGGGCAGACUAGAGUUCGGUAGGGGAGACUGGAAUUCCUGGUGUAGCGGUGAAAUGCGCAGAUAUCAGGAGGAACACCGGUGGCGAAGGCGGGUCUCUGGGCCGAUACUGACGCUGAGGAGCGAAAGCGUGGGGAGCGAACAGG